GUCCGGAUCGUCUACCGGUUAAGAUGCCGCUCCAUUAGCAUUUCCACCAGCGGAGAAUGGGUGUUCGACUCCCCAUCCGGAUA